rnacentral:rRNA from 1 species
AUGAACGCUGGCGGCGUGCCUAAUACCUGCCAGUCGCGCGAACAGACGAGGAGCUUGCUCCUCUGACGUUAGCGGCGGACGGGUGAGUAACACGUGGAUAACCUACCUAUAAGACUGGGAUAACUUCGGGAAACCGGAGCUAAUACCGGAUAAUAUAUUGAACCGCAUGGUUCAAUAGUGAAAGACGGUUUUGCUGUCACUUAUAGAUGGAUCCGCGCCGCAUUAGCUAGUUGGUAAGGUAACGGCUUACCAAGGCAGCGAUGCGUAGCCGACCUGAGAGGGUGAUCGGCCACACUGGAACUGAGACACGGUCCAGACUCCUACGGGAGGCAGCAGUAGGGAAUCUUCCGCAAUGGGCGAAAGCCUGACGGAGCAACGCCGCGUGAGUGAUGAAGGUCUUCGGAUCGUAAAACUCUGUUAUUAGGGAAGAACAAAUGUGUAAGUAACUAUGCACGUCUUGACGGUACCUAAUCAGAAAGCCACGGCUAACUACGUG